rnacentral:tRNA from 1 species
GCGACUGUGGCGUAAUUGGUAGCCGCGCAGCACUAAGGAUGCUGUGGAUAAAUCCAUGGGGGUUCAAGUCCCCCCAGUCGCACCA